rnacentral:rRNA from 1 species
UACGUAGGGGGCAAGCGUUGUCCGAAUUUACUGGGCGUAAAGAGCGCGCAGGCGGUCGUUCAAGUCGCGUGUGAAAGCCCCCGGCUCAACUGGGGAGGGUCACGCGAUACUGAUCGACUCGAAGGCAGGAGAGGGUAGUGGAAUUCCCGGUGUAGUGGUGAAAUGCGUAGAUAUCGGGAGGAACACCAGUGGCGAAGGCGACUACCUGGCCUGUUCUUGACGCUGAGGCGCGAAAGCUAGGGGAGCAAACGGG